UGUAGUCUACACUGCUGUAGUAUAGGCUCACGCACUGGGGAAUCUGACCGUGUCGUCAGCAGCCCGGAGGGUGCUUGGCGGUGCAGAGAUCCUCAGAGAUCAUCCUCCAGGUACACAGCCAGAGCAGUCUCUGUCCUGCUCUUGCACCUUUCCUUUCUCUAUAGCAUUGCUGAUGUGACCAGGAGGCAUUGCCUUCAGCCUUCCUACAGAACAGAUAGCGCACUGAGUACUUUCCUUCUAGAUGAGACUUUUCUCAGUUGGCCUGAUAGGACCUUAUUAUCAGCAUACUAGAAAGCCAGGGCUGCUUCCUUAUGAGAGGUAGUGGGGGUGAGGGGAGGCCAGAGGGCCAUGGAGAGUUCAAGGAACCUGGGGAAAACUUAAGGCAUUGUUCCUGCCUGCCACCUCUUCCCUGUGUCCUUCAUAGCAGUUGGUAGAGUUUCCAGGUGAGACUGGCUUUCUAGUUCUUUCUUGCACUGCCCAGCUCAGCCCUCUUAAUUUUAAGCAAAUAGGUGCAACAGGUUGGAGAGGGUACCAGCCUGAGAUAUGACCAGGGUAGCAGAGCUAGUCUUGUCUGGAGACUAUCAGCAGAUCUGUGACUAUGCAGUCAGCAGGACAGGAUGAGAAGCCAGUCCAGAGCUGAGCUCUAGCCCAGUGGCCUGGAGCAGGGAGGGCUGCCCCAUCUGGGAUGCUGCUUUCCAUAACCUCCUGCAGAUCAUGCCUGUCCUCUUCCUAGUCUGACCUCUGCCAAUAGUUACCUAACUUUGAGGUUGGCAACCUGGGAAAAAGAGUCUUCCAUUUUUCUCCAGCCUCUGAUGACUUAGCAACGCCUCAUUCAUAUAUAAAUGAACAAUUCCUGUCACCUUGGCCUCUGUCUUUUCCAGAGAUGGUUUAGUUGGUUUAGUCUGGGGAGAGGCAAAAUGAAACGUGAAGGCACACACUUUCCAGUCUUACGAUUCUGAAAGGUUGGUCCUCCUCUAAUUGGCCCAGUGCCUCCAUACUCUGAUUUAAGAGAGGUUUCUCAUCCCCCUAGCAGUCAGCAUCCCUAGCCCUGCCCUUCUGGCCUCUAAGGUCAGCUCUGCUCAGUCCAGAAAUGAGCUGUCGUAGCUGCUUUAGGGAUCUUAAGGAGUCUGUGACCUUUCUCAUCUUUCACAUGAACAGAAAUUUCCUGAAUAUCCACUCUGUGCCAGGCAGUAGGCUAGGUGCUGUGGAAACAAAAGAUAAAUCAAACAGAGCUUCUGCCCUGAAGGUGCUGUCCAAUUUGGGUGAUUCCCCUUGGCCCCUUGACAGUUACACUGGUGACAUUUAGGGGACAGAAAACAAGAUUUGAACCGGUUGGGCAGACAGAUUCAAAGCUGUCCUUCAGUCUACAGUGCUGUUCUGCCCCGGGGGGAGUGUCCUUCCAUCUGUCUGGAGAGUGCAGUGCAUAGGACUCUGCCUCUGAGUUGAGUGGCUCCCAGCCUGUGGGCAGCCAGUUGUGGCUGUGACCGGGCUGCCCCCAGGGGGUUUGGCUCCUCUUGGGGACCCCUUAUCACCCAGAUGUGAGGGCACAUCUGCCAGGGCAGGCCACAGAACUGUGGUGUUCCUAGGGCAGCUCUUAUGUGGAGAGUUCUGGGUUGGUGCAGAGGACCCUAGAGAAUUGUCUAUUUCACUAAUGCCACCUGGGGCAGGUCCCCACUGUCUUCACCACUAAUCGCCUCCCUUCUCUAGCUCCCAUAGUUGUGGUGAGGAAAAGUGGCUUCAGUGCUCAGCAGAGUGCUUGGGACUGCAUCAAGCCCAGUUCGCCUAUCAGAAAUGAGAUUGAAACUGCAGUCCUGCUCCUGAGAAAGCAGAGCUGGGUGCUGUCUGCUCACCGAAGUUGACCAGAAGUGGCUCUUGUAAUGUGCUACCUUCAAGGGCUUCUGGACCACCCUGGAGGACAGAGCACCCAAGCCACGGCUCACAUGCCUGCCUUGCUCCCUGAGCAGCCGAACCUUAUUACCAUCACACUUGAAGCAGCUCAUCAGGGAUUUGUUUGAGGCAAAAGUUCCCAGGCCCAGGAAAAAGCUGAAAGCUGUGGACUUAGGAGCCAGAUGUUGAGAUUUUGUUGUCUGCUGAUUGUUGGCUCUUGUCAGGAAAGGAGGAGGAGGAGAAAUGAGAGUAUAUUCACAGUUGCAUGGGGGAGUUUUUUACCCUUUUCUUUUUUUAAAGAAGUUGGUAUGUUCUUCAAACCUGAGUAUUUAUAUUUUGAGCACUAACAAUUCUACAUUUGAAGAAUAAAUCCCCUGCGUGACAUGCUACCUUCAGCUCUCAUUCUUGGGACUAAGCUGAGUGGUGAUUUGGGGGUGGCUUUCCCUUUUAGUGGCCGGCUCAGAAAUAGCCAGCACACUUAUUACACAGACUGCCAGGCUCUCUGGAGGAAGACAGAGGCUUUGGAGCCCAAGUUUAGCGUCAGCUGUUCUGUGGCAGUGUAGGGUGAGAAUUGGACCUGGUGGUUUAUGUUAAGAAGUCCAGGGCUGCAGAAUGGGAAUGCUUUCUUUAGAAGUUUACCCCCUUAAAAAUAAUUUCCACUUUCCUAUCUAUUUAAAGGGGCUUUUGAACUUGUGUUUAUGAAAUGUCUUCCCGCCAUUUCAUGUGACUUGGGACACAGCAGCUGGGAUGAUCUUCCUUUUACCCAAAUGGAAAGUUGGGUUGGGCUAGGGCCUAUGGAAAAGCUGGAGAAGUUUAGAAGCCAGGCAAGCAGGAUUAUAAAAAACAAGAACCAGGGGAAAAAAAAAACCCACAUGAUUUUGAGAGGCAGCCUAGUGUAAUGGAAAGAGUGUAAGCUUUAGAGUCAGAUGACUUAGAGUUGAAUCCUAGCUCUGCUCCUUGGACAUAUUGCUGAAUUUCUUCCAUUUCCUCAUGUAUAAAACUUGAAAGUUACAGGGUUUUGAAGGCUCUUGCAUGUAGUAGGCCCUUGAUAAAUACUGAUUCCCUCCCAGGCGUUUUAUCUUUGUUUUUUCUGGGGCUCUUAACUUUUCCUCACUGGACCUUUGUAGGCACCCAUUUGGGGUUCAGCAGGUACCUGGGAGCCCAGAGGAAAAAGAGUGCUACAGACUCCAGGUGGGCCCUGGGUGACCACUGAAUCCACCUUCAUGAUCAGGGCCCACGCAACACAGAGCUGCUUCCAGAGCUCUGGGGGAUUUGCUAUUAGCUUGGGGUAGUUUAAAAUUGAAUCCAUCACAAUGACAUGAUGGGGAGACAUAAACAGAACAUUUGGGAGCAGAGCACAGCUGCUAAGGUGGCAUGAUAGACUGCUUGGCAUUACAGCAUUGUUAUUUAUUAGGGAAAGUUGAAAUGGGUCAGAGAAUGAAGUUUUCCUAAAGACCUCAGUCUUAGGACUAGCAGUCUCUUUUCAUUGUUCCUCCAUAAAAAUGUUUUGCUCUGCUCUAUAUUGGGCCAAAUGCACCAGCCAAAAUACUGUUUUGCAAAUUUCAGGGGAGGGGAUGCGGCUGCUCAUUGUGGGCCCUCCCCUUCCUGCUGUUGACUCAGGCCAGUCUAAGGCGUUCUGUGCUGCAUUUGGGGGAUUUUCUGGGGCCGAUUUUAGAAUGCUUGCUUACUGUGCAUGCAGAGUCCCCCCAGCCAGGCCCCACCCCAGCACGGCUCCUGCCUCUGUCAUCUGAAGCCUCAUGGGCUGAGGCUGGGAAGAGAAUAGAAGACACUGGUCAUAUGCAUGUGCCCAGAGUUUGUUUGAGGAAGAGAUUAUACAUCCAUAUUUCCAAAGAGAAAAAACAGAGGUUUUUUUUUUUUUAAAUGUGGCAAAGUGUACAUAACAUAAAAUUCACCAUUUUAACCAUUUUAAGUGCACAGUUUAGUGGCAUUACAUCCAUUCACACUGUCACGCAGCCAUCACCACCAUCCAUCUCUAGAACUUUUUCAUUUUCUCAAACUGAAACUACCCAUUAAAUAAUCCCUCUCCCCUCUCUCCUAGGCCCCUACAACCAUUAAUCUACUUUUCUGUCUUUGUGAAUUUGCCUAUUUUCGGUACUUGGGAUAAGUGGAGUCAUACAGCGUUUGUCCUUUUGUGUCUGGCUUAUUUCAUGGAGCAUAAUGUGCUCAAGGGUCAUCCCUGUUGUAGCAUGUGUCAGAAUUUCCUUCCCUUUUAAGGCUGAAUGAUAAUCCAUUGUGUGUCUAUAUCACAUUUUGUUUAUCCAGUCAUCUGCCGAUGGCACUUGGCUUGCUUCCACCUUUUGGCUAUUGCAGGAAACUAGUUUUGACGUGUUGAGAUGCAGGCCUGAUUUCCCUGCCUGCUUGUGAGGUAGGUGGACACGUUGAAUUGACGGUCCUGUGUGUGAGUGAAGUGUGUGCGACUGUGUCUGAGUGUCUGUCCUUCUCAGUUGACGUAAAUACUAGGGUUAUGAAAAGUCCUGUUUUAUAUCUGAAGAAACUCUCCCUGCCCACUGGCUUGUCAGAGCCUCUUGAUGAAAGGGUAAACAGGAGGUGAGUGCUUGACGUAGGAGGAGUGAGUUAUCCUGCCUCAGCCUCCUGUCCUGGAGAGUGUGUUUACUGCAGGCUGCUGUGGGGAUGAGAGGACCAGUUUGGGAGCCUGACAGCCCCAGAUCAGGACCAGUCUCAGAAUUUCUUUGUUGUGUGACUUUGGCUAGGUCACUUUAACUUUUCUGAGCCUGGUUGUCUACAUCUAAGAGGAUUUUGGGAUCCAUAUUAAAUGUAACAUGUCAAAAGCUGUUGCCCGGUGCCUGGCUGAUGGUAUGUAUUCAAAACACCUUCUCUUCCUUAAAGAAACGCUUAUACACUGUUGGUGUGAGUGUAAAUUAGUUCAACCACUAUGGAAGACUGUGGCGAUUCCUCAAAGACCU
rnacentral:lncRNA from 1 species